GAUGAACGCUGGCGGCGUGCUUAACACAUGCAAGUCGAACGAAGCACUUUAACCUGAUUCUUCGGAUGAAGGUUUUUGUGACUGAGUGGCGGACGGGUGAGUAACGCGUGGGUAACCUGCCUCAUACAGGGGGAUAAAAGAUAGAAAUGACUGCUAAUACCGCAUAAGACCACAGAGCCGCAUGGCUCGGUGGGAAAAACUCCGGUGGUAUGAGAUGGACCCGCGUCUGAUUAGGUAGUUGGUGGGGUAACGGCCUACCAAGCCAACGAUCAGUAGCCGAGCUGAGAGAGAGACCCGCCACUUUGAGAGUGGGACACGGCCGAAACUCCUGCGGGAUGCGGCAGUGGCGGAUAUUGCACAAUCGCGGAAACGCUGAUGCACCUACGCCGCGUGAGCGAAGAAGUAUUGCGGUAUGUAAAGCUCUAUCAGCAGGGAAGAAAAUGACGUUACCUGACUAAUAAGCACCGGCUAAAUUCGUG
rnacentral:rRNA from 1 species